UCUCACACUAAUGCAUACACACAAACCCACCCAUCCGUGCACACACCCUUCCAGGAUGAUGUAUUUUUAGCCAAAUCAGACAAUGGUGUGCUCCUGGAGGCAGUUUUCCUAUUGGCCUUAACAAGUGGCUUUGGUGGAGGUACCCUUGUGAUCUUUCCCAAGCGCUUGACUGAGUGCAGACAGGAAGCUUCUGGUGAAGUGCACCUCUCUGAUGAUAACAUCGAGAUCGGUUGCUUUUGCUGACUGGA